rnacentral:rRNA from 1 species
UACGUAGGUGGCAAGCGUUGUCCGGAAUUAUUGGGCGUAAAGCGCGCGCAGGCGGUCCUUUAAGUCUGAUGUGAAAGCCCACGGCUCAACCGUGGAGGGUCAUUGGAAACUGGGGGACUUGAGUGCAGGAGAGAAGAGUGGAAUUCCACGUGUAGCGGUGAAAUGCGUAGAGAUGUGGAGGAACACCAGUGGCGAAGGCGGCUUCCUGGACCGGUUCUGACACUGAGGAGCGAAAGCGUGGGGAGCGAUCCGG